UUGCACGAAUAAACGGAUCGAACGUUUUCUUCCUGUUGGAGGAACGAUGCAACAACAAUGGAUUCAUUUGAGUAAACACGGACGCAUUUACAGAAAUAUUCCGGUGUUAAGGUUCCUGGAUUUAGAAUUUUUGAAAAAAAUUCACAUGUCAUCUUCCUUGAAUUCUCCUAAUACAAAGUUGAAUUUUUUGAUUAAUAGAUUAAGAGUACAAUUAAUUGUUCAAACUCUUUCAAGAAGCUUCGAUAUUCUUAGGAAGACCAGAUAUAACUAUGAUGUAAAGGGAUAGAAGGGAGAGAGGAGUGUUGCGUUUCGUGAUCGUGGUUGCUGAAUAAGAUUUUUUCCAGGGAGUGAUGGAGGUAAGAAUCUUACGGGCGAUAAGGCACACAUUAAUUGAAGAAUAACAUCCGGCAUGGAGCUGGUGGCAGACCGUCGUGACAUCAUUGUUUACAACUGAACGAAAAUGGAAUUAAACGAAUCACCCAAUGACCAACCUAUUCAAGAGCGAAAGGGGUAAUUUUAGAGUGAUAACAUUAACGAGAAUUAGUCGGCUGUGUCGAUAAUUUCAAAAGAAUUCGAUUCAUGGUGACCUAUUUUCUUCAAAUGUUUAGUAAUCAAACAGGAAUUGAUACUUUAAAAAAACCUUCUCCAUGAUAUACCAAAAAUCACAUGUUCCAUUUAAAUAAAUUUUAAAAUCAAUCUAAAUGCCAUUUUUUUCAUCAUCGGAUACUGCAUCUAAAUGAUCUACGGGAAAAAAGUAAUGGCCGAGCAUGUGGCAAAAAGAUAAUUCUCUCGCAAGUUGCAAGAGGAGAACAAGAAUAGAAGUACAAUUUAGAGCGAGAAGCGAGGGUCCCAGGGUCAUCCAAGAGGGCUUCGUUUUAUGAUCUUUCUUCAACCGGCAGGAGCCAUACACGAUCAGGAGUCGAAGGAUCGAUGGAUAAAAAAAAAUAAAGAAAGUCAAUGAUGAUAAAGAAGGAAAGAAGAUUGGAGUUAAGAAAUGGAAGCUUGCUAAGAACGAAUAGCUGUGUCAAAUUAACCAUGAUUUAUAGAGAUGGCCAAUAUUCCAUUCUAUUAACAUCGCAUUAUCCUUCCGUCAAAUUACAUAUCGACGACCCGAUUUUUUCAGAAGCCGAUCCUGGCACAAAGUAACUUUUGCAUUCAUCUCUUCUUUAUCUCAAUCGACUCCUUUCUUACUCUAUUUUAAUACCUAUAAAUUACUUAUGUGAUUGAUCUUUUUUUUUCACUUAUUUAUUCAUUUAACGUUAUACUUAAUUUUGUAACAAUUACAACGAUUGCAAGAUUCGUCGUUUUUAACAACUUCUUUUUAAAUGUCAUCAAUUUUUUUAUAUUUAUUUUUUCAAUUUUCAAAUUAUUCUUAUUCUACGAAUCUAUCUAAAUCUUUCUGUUACAGUGAAGGGAAAAAUACUUUUUUAUUUGCAAAACUAUUUUAUUCCAAAUAAACGAUAUGACAUGAUUAAAAAAAAUUAUAAUAUGAUUAAAUGAUAUGAUUAAAAUUAGAAUCAACGUAUCAUUGAUCAUUAAAAAAGAAAAACGGAAUUUUUCAGUUUUUCUUCCCGAUUACCGUUCCAAGGUGUACAGGUAUCCAAUAUAGUACGAUCGAUCACCGAUUAUAGCUCGGGAUAGGCAUGGUGUACAAUGUUGCACUCUAUUGGUUGGUUACAUAUCGCAACAUUAUACGUAUAUGCGGCCGGGGCAUCAAGUUGCAGGCUGCAAUAUGUAUACGCGUUUAAUUAAUUCGCCCGUACACGCGCCAUAUGAAUCUCAUUCCCGUGUAGUUCGGCGAAUUUCCCCAAACGAACUACAGAUUAAGAUCAAGAAUGAUAUGGAUGAUAUAAUAACAACAAGUCAAUUUUAGUACAAUUUUAAUUGGGACAAUUUAACAUGCAUUUAUGACCAGAAUCGAUUUCACUCACGUUAAUUAUCGAGGGAAUUAUCGAAUGAAUUAACCGAAACAAACAACCGAAAAGAAAAACUGUUUCUAUCAUAUCAUAGUCAAUAGUCGCAAAAUGACAAGAAUCAUUCUAUAAAUCGUAAUGCGGGUGGAGAACAUCAUAUCCAUGGGCGCAAAGUUGCGCACACGAAGGAAACAAAUAAAGAAAGAAGAGAAGAAGGAAAGAAAGAAUAAAGAACGGUUGGACAAGGCGCAUCGCGUACGCGCGCGUAGCUCGUGUCCGGUCAGCCGUUAAGAAGGAAGCUCCAGGCCGAUGUCGAAGAUAAGAGCGGGGACGUGUCCCUCUGUGCGUGGCAUUCUCGUGGAGAGAAGUGGUACCGAAGUUCGGGGACCAAGUGUGCCAGGCCCUCACGUAAUCCACGGAUACGUCGCGACGAAUUUGAGAGAAGCCACGAACUGGGUCCCUCUAUCUUCAAAAUGGCUACCGUCUCCGCAUCGGUGGGCAGCCGAUAUAAACUACAAACGCUCCUCUCGAACACAACGCUCCCCUCGAUCGCGUCGCCGGUUUUUUGGAUUUCUUCGAAGUGGCACGCUCGGGAAGACGUCGAUGGAUUUUGAAUACGUACUGGAUGAUAUAGAGUGGUUCACUAAAUCGAUGCGAUUGAAGAUAGGCUCUCUUUUUUUUUUAAUCGAUACGAUAGAUGAUUCGUGACAUUGAAUUUAGAAAAUUGACUUUUGCUUUCGUCCAUCAUUUCAUUCUUCCACCAUUUCUUUUUCACAAAGAAAUUUUUGAAAGAAAAGAUAAACUUCUUUAUAUUGCGUCAAGAUUAAAUUCAAAUCUUUUUCCAAUAUUGCAAUAAUGCAUCAUUACGUUUCUUCAAUCCUUAAUCGGAUAAAAAAAAAAAUUAUUUCAAACAAAAACCUAUCAUGAUAUCUGCAUCGAAGUUGUAAAUAUCUUUGGUAGCGUCGUAACUAUUCGCGUACGAUCGGAAAAUCUGUCUAUCGUUAAGGAGGAAGAGGGCGAAUAGAAUGAAACGAUUCGUGAAAGGGGGAGUGACAAAGAGAAGGAGUAGGGAGGGAGUCGAUGGGAGAGAGAAAGAGAGAGAAAGGAGAUCACGGAGCUCGUGUUUCCGGCCGGGUGAACAACAAUGCCCGCAGACAAAUGAGCAUCCCGCCUCCAUUGUUCGCUUCAUCGGCACGGCGCAGCCUCUCUCUCCCCUGGUUACCCACCCUGGUUCCGCUUACGCCCCCCUAUCCUUCCCCCAUUCUUGUUUCUCCUUGUCCCUCCCUUUACCCCGUAAUCGAAAGCCCACGUCCUCGUCCUCGUCGUCCUCGUCCUCGUCCUGGUUCUCGUCCUCCAUCGUCGUCAUCAUCAUCAUCGUCGUCGUCGUCGUCGUCGUCGUCGUCGUCGACCAACAGCCAGGCUGGGGGGUCCUCGAUCAACCUGAUGCGGGCCAACACCGAUUAAACAUCUCUGCUUCGUCGAAUCUCCGUCAACGUGGGCCCCCUCCAUGAGCCCCUCCUCACGAAGAGGUAGGGUUCCCCACGGUGCCACUCUCUUUUGUCCCCAGAGCGCGAGUUCUACCGUGGCUCUCCUCUAUUUUUACGCUCAUUGUCUUCUUCGUGCGCGCUCGAUGAAAAUAACGCGCGCCGAUGUCUGGAUGAUAUAAUACCUCGUCGAUAAUUUCCAUUUUUUGAUCUUUUUCUAUCCGUUUAUUAUUCUAUCGUUCGUUGAGCCGAUUUUUCUCGUCUCCCUUUUCUUCUCAUUUCGUCGUCUUUCCUUAUUUAAAUUAUUUCACUGCUUUGCAUUUAUUUUACUUCAAUUACUUUCCCUGAGGUUUUUGUUUGGAAUUUUUCAUUUAAAAUUAAUCAAGAUUAAUUUUU